rnacentral:rRNA from 1 species
UACGUAGGGGGCAAGCGUUGUCCGGAAUUAUUGGGCGUAAAGAGCGCGUAGGCGGUCCGAUAAGUCGGCUGUGAAAGUCAGGGGCUCAACCCUUGGAAGCCGGCCGAUACUGUCGGACUAGAGUCCGGAAGAGGCGAGUGGAAUUCCCGGUGUAGCGGUGAAAUGCGCAGAUAUCGGGAGGAACACCUGUGGCGAAAGCGGCGCACUGGACCACAACUGACGCUGAGGCGCGAAAGCUAGGGGAGCAAACAGG